AUUGAACGCUGGCGGCAUGCCUUACACAUGCAAGUCGAACGGCAGCACGGGAGCAAUCCUGGUGGCGAGUGGCGAACGGGUGAGUAAUAUAUCGGAACGUGCCCAGUCGUGGGGAUAACGUAGCGAAAGCUACGCUAAUACCGCAUACGAUCUAUGGAUGAAAGCGGGGGGAUCGCAAGACCUCGCGCGAUUGGAGCGGCCGAUAUCAGAUUAGGUAGUUGGUGAGGUAAAGGCUCGCCAAGCCGACGAUCUGUAGCUGGUCUGAGAGGACGACCAGCCACACUGGGACUGAGACA
rnacentral:rRNA from 1 species